rnacentral:rRNA from 1 species
GUCCACGCCUUAAACUAUGAAUACUAAGUGUCGGCGGUUUACUGCCGGUGCCGCAGCUAACGCAUUAAGUAUUCCGCCUGGGAAGUACGGCCGCAAGGUUGAAACUCAAAGGAAUUGACUGGGGCCCGCACAAGCGGUGGAGCAUGUGGUUUAAUUCGACGCAACGCGAAGAACCUUACCCAGGCUGGACAUGCAGGUAGUAGAAGGGUGAAAGCCCAACGAGGUAGCAAUACCAUCCUGCUCAGGUGCUGCAUGGCUGUCGU